AGUGAACGCUGGCGGCGUGCCUAAUACAUGCAAGUCGAACGGAGAUUAAAUAGCUUGCUAUUUAAUCUUAGUGGCGCACGGGUGAGUAAUAUAUAGUUAAUCUGCCCCAUAGUGGAGGACAACAGUUAGAAAUGACUGCUAAUACUCCAUACUCCUUCUUAUCAUAAGUUAAGUCGGGAAAGUUUUUCGCUAUGGGAUGAGACUAUAUCGUAUCAGCUAGUUGGUGAGGUAAUGGCUCACCAAGGCUAUGACGCGUAACUGGUCUGAGAGGAUGAUCAGUCACAUUGGAACUGAGACACGGUCCAAACUCCUACGGGAGGCAGCAGUAGGGAAUAUUGCGCAAUGGGGGAAACCCUGACGCAGCAACGCCGCGUGGAGGAUGGCACUUUUCGGAGCGUAAACUCCUUUUGUUAGGGAAGAAUAAUGACGGUACCUAACGAAUAAGCACCGGCUAACUCCGUGCCAGCAGCCGCGGUAAUACGGAGGGUGCAAGCGUUACUCGGAAUCACUGGGCGUAAAGGACGCGUAGGCGGAUUAUCAAGUCUCUUGUGAAAUCUAGUGGCUUAACCACUAAACUGCUUGGGAAACUGAUAAUCUAGAGUAAGGGAGAGGCAGAUGGAAUUCUUGGUGUAGGGGUAAAAUCCGUAGAGAUCAAGAAGAAUACUUAUUGCGAAGGCGAUCUGCUAGAACUUAACUGACGCUAAUGCGUGAAAGCGUGGGUAGCAAACAGG
rnacentral:rRNA from 1 species